rnacentral:lncRNA from 1 species
AAGUGUGUGUGUUUGUAAGUUUUUUACAUUUAUACAACAAAAAAUGUCAUUUCAUCCACUUUUAUUCUUUGCAAGAAUUUAUUACUGAUACAAAAUUCACAAUAAGACUAGGACUUUGUAUUAAGAAGGUAAAUAGGAUCAUCUUUAAUUGUACUUUGCAUUAAUUUAACCAGAAAAAAGUAAAUAAAAAACAUUAAAAAUUGCAUUUAUGCAAAAUGUUAUCAUCUAAUAUUUAAUCUACAGUAGACAUUUAUUAAGGAUAAAGCGUUCAAGGGUAUGACCUUUGAGACCAUUUGAAGAACCAUGCUGUUCUGAAACUAAAAGCCAGACUGAAAGCGGUGUUUUAUUGCGUCUCUGCUUAUGAAGAAGUCACACAUAACCUGCCAGUGUCCUAAUCUUGUGCUUGUUGCUCGUGGCCGAUUAUCUGGAUCACACUGUGAAUUGCACCCCCUGCUAUUGGUCACGUGACCUGUGCACAAAGAGUCCAGUCUUCUUCGCUUGGUCCAACUUAUUGGUUUUCAAACAAAAAGAAAACAUAAGAGCGAUUGUAAAGAUAAGACUUGGGGAUAAUUAACAGCACAUCCAGACUCAACAAACAUAACCCUCCAUCAUCCAUUGGUUGUGAAGAAGGGAGGAGGUUUGUUGGUGUGAAGCCGAAUGAUUUCUUUGAGUGUGAGUGGAUGUAAAAUGUGCCCUAUGUUGUAUAAAAGGCGACCCAUCUCAGUAACGUGAAGUCCAACCAUGAGUCCAUGCGUCUUCUUAAUCUUGGUGAUUUUGUGGCCAGUAAUGGCUGUGGAGAUGUCCACCUUGGAGGGCCAGCAGAUCCUCCAAGCCUUGCACUGUCCGCCCUGCGAACGCAUCCAUUGUUCCCCUCGUCGAGCGCUGAAGCUCCAGUGUCAGGGUGGAGUCACCACUGGGAUCUGCGGAUGUUGUCCGGCCUGUGCUAAACUCGCGGGAGACAGCUGUGGAGGCACCUGGGACUACCUGGGGAAAUGUGAUGAAGGGCUGGUUUGUAUUUACCCAGAAGAAACAGGUGGAAAACCAGAAGCACAACCCAAGGGAACCUGCAAAUCAGUGCUGGAGGUCCUCAAAGCUGACACCUGCAGACCUGAGUGCACAUGGGAGUUCUGCGAGACAAAUCCCAAUGAAAUAUGCUCGGCCAGGUCUGUAUCGCUGGAGAAGCGUGAGUGUGGAGGACACUGCCAGCACACGACCUGCUCCAGCUGCCUGCUUCUCAGACCUCCGUCUUGUCCUCAGUCCUGUUCCCCGACAGACCACGUGUGUCUGCAUCGCUUCGGCAGGUGUGUGCGAGAAAAACACCCACCCGUCUGCCAUCACAACCUACAGAAUAACUCCGAGGGAUUCUUUGUGUGUUUGGCUCCUGCCUGUCCAACUGCAACUGAUUCUACAUUUUAA